CUGGUACCUGCGUCCAAUAUGUUUUAGGAAAAGCAAUGUUACGUUGGAGGUUGCGAUGCACCAACAAGGAAAGGCCGCCGAUAUAAAGAUCAAUCCCGGAGGACAACCACCUAAACACGUGUACCCAAAAUACGAAGUUUUGUAUGCUACACAACACUGCAUUAUUACCGGCAACGUGCCACAGCCAACGCUUAGAACAUACUGCACCUACUGGGUCAAGAAGAGCGAUGUGAAGAAUCGGCACUGGGCUUGUGACUUCAUAUUAGACCACUACUGCCGAAGCCCAGAAAUUGUCAUUAAGGAUACAAACAAUUGUUGGCCUGAAGGCAAUGCAUAAAGAUAUAAAUCAACUACACCAAUACAA
rnacentral:lncRNA from 1 species